GACAUAUUUGAUCGGAUCAUAACAUGUGAUAGAUGCAAAGGGAACUUGGAUUAGAAAUCGAUACAAAAGGCUAUAAUUGAAUUGGAGUUGAAACGGUGAAGUUCUGGCUGUUAACAGAUACAAAAUUCUAUGGAUCAUGGAUACCGUAUAUGGACAUGAAAAGGUUCAAAAAGGGGUUCAGAAUGUAGGGUUGGAUGGAUUAUUGUCAAAACAGAAAGAAUAAUCUAAUUUGGAGCAAUGGAUCAAAAGAAAGGGACUUCGAAAUACAACUAAUCAAUGUUUCAACACAGAUAGCAUGUAACAGUGUUAACAGAUUGCAACUUUGGUUGAGGAUGAACUAGUGUAGAUGAAAUAGAAAUUGUGCAAACAGUGCACUGAUGUGUAGAACAUGAUCUGAUAGAUGAUCUGCAGAAGGUUUGAGACCAAACGGAUCUAUGGAAUAGUCUGCAAGAAUUGGAAAGGUGGAUAAUCCAGAAGCAACAUGUUGUGAAUAGCAACUUCAGAUAAAGAUUAACUACUGAAGAUAAUCCAGACGGGGCAUGAAAACUGAUCUAAUCUGAAGAGCACGACGUGAUCUAAGCAUAGCAGAAGGAAUCGGCUAAAUAGGAUGUACGGUUGAUAAUCUACAAGCUACAGAAGUAGGCUAAUCAAAACAGACUGCAGCUCGAAAAAUAGAACAAGAAAGCUCACCGGAGAAGAUGAAGUUCGCCGGAGUGGAUGAGAGUCGGCGAAACAGAGGUUUCCGAGGCGAGGCUGUGGUGGAUGGUGUUCUAGGCGUCGAUAGGGAUCUAAUGGUGGUGAUGGCUCGGGCUAAUUUGAAGCGAGGCAGUAGGAAUUGCUUGCCGGAGUUCGCGUGAAAUUGGCGACGAAAACUUGAAAUUGGAUGCGGGAUUGACAGCGGCUUCGAUCUCGGUUUCGAGGGAUAGGUUAGGGCUCUCGAGGGCGUCCGAGGGGAGGUUAUAGGACGUAGGGCGCUCGGGAUAAGGCCGGCGUCGGUGGAGGUUUAAACGAGUUGGUUUUGCUUAAAAUUCGGAGGAGAUAGAGUCCGAGUCAGUUUGAUUCUUGUUUGGAUAGAUUCCUUGCCGUGUGGGGCACGAACUAGAGCAGAAAACGCGGAGGAAAACGGUUCGGGUGAUGGAAUCCGUGGUGGAGGCGGCCAUGGAGUCCGACAGGAGCUUGGGCUCAGGUUGGGGGAGGUUGGGCGCGGGGCAGGAGAUGGCUGCGGGCGGCUGGGAUCGGCAGAUGUGUCCAGGGGCGAGCCAGGCGCUGGGCUUGGCGGCGGAGAGCCGGAGAGUAGCAGCGAGCGGCUAGGGGCUGGCGGCCAUGACGCUGCACCCAGGAAGAAGGCACGGGCUUGGCAGCCACGUGAGGAAGAAAGAAGAAAGGAGAGAAAAGAAAAGAGAAAAGAAAAGAAAGAGAGAUGGGCCGUUGGAUGAGAGAUGGAUGACAGAGAUUAGAACUUACCCCUUCGGGGCACUUAAGUGGAGACAGGUUUCAGCGGAAUACGCUUUCACGAAGGGAAAGUGUAGUUCUGAAAAUACAAAAGAAUAAAAGAAAAGGCAUAUAAAAUACUUUUUUGUGUGUAUAAAUCGCCAUAAAUUCAAAUAAAUCAAAUAAAAUACCAAAAAGAUUCAGAAAAAAUCCAAAAAUUCUAAUUACCUGUUUAGAACGCAAUAAAAGUAAUUUCCUCAUGGAAUAAAAUAUUUCAAUAGGUUUUAUAGCACAUGAACCUCAAAUGAAUUCCAAAUAAAUCUAGAAAAAUAUGUCAAAGAUCCAAUAAAUUUCCAAACGGGAUUCGAACACCAAACGAAGCUUAUGUGUACCAAAUUAUAUGUUCUCCAACUUUAUAAUCUGGAGAGUCACAUUAUUCCUUCUCAUUAACAAAUAGGCAUG
rnacentral:lncRNA from 1 species